GGCACCGAGAGCAAGCGAGGGCUGUGAGGACUGCCAGUACGCUGUCCCCUCUCACCAGGAGGUGGAAGUUGCAGUGAGCCGAGAUUGCGCCACUACACUCCAGCCUGGCAACAAGGCAAGACUCUGUCACAAAGAAAAAAAAAAAUUCCUAUGAGGUAGGCUUUGUUAUUAUUCUCUCUCUCUCUUUUUUUUUUUUUUUUUGAGACAGAGUCUCACUCUGUCACCCAGGCUAGAGUGCAAUGGCAUAAUCAUGGUUCACUGCAGCCUUGACCUCUCAGGCUCAAGCAAUCCUCCCACCUCAGCCUCCCGAGUAGCGCCGCCAAAGUGGGAGCCCUUCAGCCCACUGCUGCACUGUGGGAGCCCCUUUCUGGGCUGGCCAAGGCCAUAGCCGGCUGCCUCAGCUUGCAGGGAGGUGUGGAGGGAGAGGCGCGAGCGGGAACCGGGGCUGCGCGCGUUGCUUGCGGGCCAGCUGGAGUUCCGGGUGGGCGUGGGCUUCCACACUGUGGAGGCUUUGUUCUUUCGCUCUUUGCGAUAAAUCUUGCUACUGCUCACUCUUUGGGUCCACGCUGCUUUUAUGAGCUGUAACACUCACCGCGAAGGUCUGCAGCUUCACUCCUGAAGCCAGUGAGACCACGAGCCCACCAGGAGGAAGGAACAACUCCAGACGCGCCACCUUAAGAGCUGUAACACUCACCGGGAAGGUCUGUAGCUUCACUCCUGAGCCAGCGAGACCACGAACCCACCAGAAGGGAGAAACUCCGAACACAUUCGAACAUCAGAAGGACCAAACUCCAGACGCGCCACCUUAAGAGCUGUAACACUCACUGCGAGGGUCCGCGGCUUCAUUCUUGAAGUCAGUGAGACCAAGAACCCACCAAUUCCGGACACAGUGGCUGGGAUUACAGGCACGUGCCACCAUGCCUGGCUAGUUUUUGUAUUUUUUGUAGAGACGGGAUUUUGCCAUGUUGCCCAGGCUGGUCUCGAACUCCUGGAGUCAAGUGAUCUGCCUGCCUCAGCCUUCCAAAGUGCUGGGAUUACAGGAAUUUAUUCUCAUUUUACAGAUGAGGAAACUGCAGCACAGAAAGUCUGUUACUUGACCAAAGUUACAUAGGUGAUAAGUGAUAGAAUGGGGAUUUGAACGUAGGCAAUUCUGUCUCAGCCCCAGCUUGUUCUCCCAUUCUAAAGAUCACAUCUUUGACUCAUUUUGUCUGCCUGAUUGCUUAUGGUGAUGCUUGGGGCCACAGGUCCUCACUGCAGACCUCCCAGGGGCAGGAGCCCUGCCCCUGAGCCCUAGACCAGGAGCCUUCCCCCUUCCUCCAAUUUUCAGCCUCUCUGCCCUGGACUCCUCCUUGGGCUGCCACCUAAUGCCAGUCUCCAAACAUUCCAGAUGCUAUCUCUCUGGCGCCCAGACUCUGUGCUGUUCUUCUGAGCUUGGCACUUGAAACUGCUCUGUCCACACUGCUCUGCCUCCAGCUCCUGAUAUGCCUAUUAGUAAGCAACCCAUUUCCAGAAAGUGGCUGGCUCAAACUUUUGACACCCAGGAGAUCAUCCAAACCAUCUUCACUGAGGUGGAGGAGCAGUGCAGUGGCCAAGAGAAAGAUGGGAUUGACAGAGGGAAAUAAAAAGAACUCUGAUAUGUAAUAGACUGGAUAAUCAGGAUACAGUAGGCCAUGGUCACAUUUGAGCUCCAGGUGGUGUCUGAUUGACUUGGAAACAGUACAAUAGGGGCAAAUUUUACCCUCACAUUUCCUGGCAACUUUGGGUUCAAAGAUAUUAGCUGUUACUUGACAUUCCCAUUGGCAAAAAUGAAGGGCAUGCCUCUGUUGACAAAGCAUGAAACGUCAUCUGUUGUGUCUGUAAUGCCAUAAAUGAGUCAUUGAUUCCACAGAAGAGCAAGAAAAAAGAGCAGGAAGGGCAGGAAAUGUUAGUUACCAUAUUUCUCCAUCAUCCAUGGCAUGUGAUGGGGCAGAACAUGUCACCAGGCAACAGUAACAUGGGGCUGUUUCUUGGCCUCUCAGCUCCAGUACUGGGAUAAUCUAUUAAAUCGUCUCACAACUUUCUGGGUAUUCUUGAGCCCUAUUCAUCCUCUUUGGUUCAGAAACUGAUUUAGAGAAGAGGGACUCUGAGUAAUCUGUAAAGUAUUGUUUAUCUAUAAGACUUUGGUAUGCUAAGCCUGAAUCAGCAAUUAGGUUUAAUGCCUUGCUAUAUUUGCUUGAAAAUGAAACCUGUAGCAAAAGUGAAUGUGCUAUGCUGAAAGAGCAUUUAAAAAAUAAUCUCAGCUGGGUGUGGUGGCUCAUGCCUGUAAUCGCAACACUUUGGGAGGUCAAGGCAGGAGGAAUGCUUGAGGCUAGGAGUUUGAGACCAGCCUGGGCAACAUAGUGAGACCCUAUCUCUACAGAAAAUACAAAAAUUAGCCAGGCAUGGUGGCACAAGUCUGUAAUCCCAGCUACUCGGGAGGCUGAGGUGGGAGGAUCACUUGAGCCCAGAAGGUCAAGGCUGCAGUGAGCCGUGUUUGCACCACUGCACUCCAAUCUAGGCACCGGAGUGAGAUCCUGUCUCAAAAUAAUAAUAAUAAUAAUAAUAAUAAUUUAAAAAUAAUCAUAAUUGUUUGUUACUCUAGUGAUACAAGCCAUGGAUGAUAGUAGGAAAGUGAAUUACACAGGCAAACAUGGAUAAGGGGGGUACUGCAUUAUAAGAAUCACAUGCAUUUAGGAUAAGGGGCUACUUGGAGAAGGGGAGUUUCUGUGUAAAUAACACAAAUAGAGAGAUUUUCUUUAACUCAUCUGGUUGCUUUUCCUUACUAGAACCUGUACUUUGAAUAUUCCUUUGUUUUUUUUUUUUACUUUUAUCAUUUGAUGUAAAGACACUAACAUUUUAUGAAAAAGCAUGGCUUACAUGGGACUCUUUCCAAAUAGUUUUAUUUAUAUAUUACCACUUUCAUUUGUUAUCUUUCUUUCUAAACAAAGAGUCUCAAAGCAUAUUACGACACCAAAUUCAUUAAUCUGAACGUAUGGUGAACCACUUGUUUGCCAUUUCUUGAAAACAAUUACUCUUGCUUUUACCUCCCCAUAGUGAUUCAGUGUUAAAAAAUGGUAACAGAACCCAGUCCCCUUUAUUCCCCUGCUUCAGGUCCAACUUUGAUUACUUAGCACAUGCCACCAAUUCUAGGCAUUAAAUUGAAUUUUUCAACAGUGAAUCAAUUAGCACACAUUCUUUGUUGUGGUUGAGGAGGGGGUGUCAAUAACAGAGAAACAAGAUGGAGAAGAGUUGAGGGAAACAGGUUAUUUUAUCUUUCAAAGACAAAGUUCUGUGCGAGGAAGCUUCUUGGUGCUCAUUAGGAACACAAACCUCCAUACAUGCAUGAAGAAUGGGAGCAAAAGGAAUUUUAAUCGCUUUUUCAUGAAAUCUGACCCAGAGUUGAACAAAGAGAAUUCUAAAUCUUUUGCAUAUGCCAUUUUUUAGGGGCAGACAUCAAUCUUUUUCCCCCUUCUCUUGUGUUCCUUGAACAAAAAGAAUUAUUGAAACUGAACUUGUUCAGGUUUUUAUAAAUCAGGAUGUCAACAAAUACAAGCACUAGUCUAGUUACAACGAGAGACUGUAGUUUCUAGAAUAAAGCUAACCUGUUUUUUUUUAAGCUCUACAAAGAACGCAUUGUUUAUUCUCAUGUAGAAACGUCAUGUAAAGCAGCUCUCUGUCAGGUAUUCUAUUUUUAUUUAGUUGUUUCAUAACUCAAUUAUAAUGUUCCCCUUUACCUAAUAAUUAGGAGAUAUAGAGUAACAAGGCUGGAAACCUCUUCUUUUCUCCACUGUGUGUCAGUUACAUUUCCAGAUUGUUAAUGGAUAGCAGGUUAUGCCUGUGUAGGUGAGUCCUCGUCCCUGCUGGCCUGGCAGCUUACCCCUGCACAGUAGCAAGGGUCAGCUCGUGGAGACGGGCCCGGCUAGAGGCCUAAGCAGGAACUUCCUGCCAUCUGGAAGAGUCCGGGGCACAAGGAAAGAUGUCAGCAAUAGGUGCUCAUAUGACUCUUUAGCUCCCCUGGGAAUACCAGUAUUUCUCCUAGUUCCAUGAUUGGGAAAAUUUAACACCCACUACCGGUAAUUUGAUGCACACGUUUCGGUGUCUGUAUUUGGUGGCAUUUCACUCUUACAGAUACAUGCCUAGGUUUUUGUGGCCACUUACUACCUUUUGAACACCCUUUCUGUGUUUCAGGAAUCCCCCACAGCAGGAGUCCGGCCUUUCCAAAGUAUGAACCCCAAACACAUUUUCCCAGCUUCUCUUAUAGCAAAGUUGCACCCUUAAAUAUAUAUACAUAUAUUUACACACAUGUGACCUAGACCCAGCCAGUGCACCUUAGCUGGAGAGAUUGUUUUGGAAAAGAACAAUGAGAGGAAGUAGGUGCUGCUCAGAAUCCAUUUUCUGGCAAAGGUGACGGUUGAGCUUCUAGCUGUGGGGGACGACAUUGGCAGACGGUCUGGUGUCCAGUGCCUAGUGGUAGCGCUCAUCGUGAUAGAGGGGGAGGGCCACAGGGGUCUUCUUGUUAUACUCAUGAUGGAUACUGUGCCUAAGACCAAGAUUUUCUUUACGAUUAAAAACAGUUACAGGCAUCUAAUGUAAUUGUUCAUUAAACAUAGACACUUCUAAAAUCAAAGCAUUUAACUUAAUUUGUUGGAUUUUUAAAAGUUAUUUUUAAAUAACUUUUAAAAUAACUCCUAAAACUAUUAAGAUGGUAGCUUUUAUGUGUAUUAUUUUCCAUAGGCCAGUAAUACAGCUUGUUAUAAAGAAACUCAAGGACCAAAGUGUUUGUGGGAAACUGGCCUGGUCUGGUUAGUCUUGAGAUAUUUUGGGGGCACAUAUGGGUAUAUAUUUAGUUUAGAUAUUAUAAUUUACCCAUUUCUGAACCUCCUUCCUCCUUUUUCCUCCAUUCUCUUUUCACCCUAGCAUUAUUACACCAAUCUGUUUUUUCUGGGCCUGAGUGGACAGAGCUCUCUGAAAUAUAGCAUGGCUUGUAGGCAGAGCUCCAUUAGUUGGGUUGGGAAAGGGGUUACAAUGGGACGUACGAAGUGAAAGUGGAGCAGAAAACCCCAUAUCCAAAUUUUGGUGAAAAAUACAUUUUUUGAAGUUGAUGCUAUUUGUAAUUUUCUAAAUAAUUUGCAUUUUAUGAAAAAAUAAUAUUUUCUAAGAAUAGGUCAAUUAGUUUAAAAAAUACAGUCAUUAUUGGGCCAUGAUAAAUGGAUCAUGACCAUGCUUGACACUAUGGAAAUAACUGCUGGGCCUAGAAUCUGAAGAUAUGCUUGAAGAAGAUUAGUAGGCCCCUGCUUUAUAAGGAGGGGAAUCAUUGUAAAAUAUUUUCUCAGCCAGAAUGACAUACUACAACUGUAUUACUGCAACAUUACAAAUUUAUGGGAUCUAAAUCGAUGAGUUUUAACCAUAGAAAUAAAUUCCGAGGGAUGAGGAAUUUAUGAACUCAGUACCUAGUACCAAGUUACAGGAAUCACAAUUAAAGAUCUUCACUAUUUUCUGCCUUAUUCUACCAUGACGUUAAAAAAGACUGAUAGGCCGGGCGUGGUGGCUCACGCCUGUAAUCCCGGCACUUUGGGAGGCCGAGGCGGGCAGAUCACAAGGUCAGGAGAUCGAGACCAUCCUGGCUAACAUGGUGAAACCCCGUCUGUACUAAAAAUACAAAAAUUAGCCGGGCGUGGUGGUGGGUACCUGUAGUCCCACCUACUUGGGAGGCCGAGGCAGGAGAAUGGCUUGAGCCCGGGAGGCGGAGCUUGCAGUGAGCCAAGAUCGCGCCACUGCACUCCAGCCUGGGCGACAGAGCACGACUCUGUCUCAAAAAAAAAAAAAAAAAAAAAAAAAAGACUGAUAUUCUAAACUCUGAUGAGCCAGUCUUUAUUUAGUCAUUCUAUUGAUUUUUAAAAUUAUCUCCACUUCUAUCCUGUACCUUGUGUCAUAUUUCUACAUAAUAGUAUUCCUGUUAUAAAUACCGUUCAGGUAUUAGUGAUGCAAGCAAAGAGAAUUUAAAGGUCUUGGUAAAGGUCCCUCAGGUGAGGCUGUAACUGACUGAAUGGAGGAAGGAAACCAGUUUUCUCCUAGCGUUCAGGAGGGCUCUGUACCCCUUUCUAAUCUGCCUUCUAGUUCUAUGAACCUACAUGCUUGCUUUGUAUGUCUCAUUUUGUGAUUCCCACUAUAUACACAGAAAAGUAUGAAAACAAUAACCUCAUAUUACUAUUAACUUUUUUCUGCUUUUUUUCAUUUCAUUCCCACUGGUAUCUUAUUAUUAAUAAAUGAUUUUAAACUCAAUUUUGAAUUCUUUUCUCAACACAAUUUUCAUGUUUCUAUAAUUCUAAAAUAGUACUUCUAAGUAUAGGAGAUAUAGCCAUCUGGCUGGAGCAAUCUAGAUAUAGUUCCACCAAGGCCAAGAAUAUGGCCUGGUUCUAUCUUUGAGCGCCAUCCAAACAGGGGUGUGCAGGUGUGGGAGAAACUCCUUUUAAGAAAAGGAGAUCUUCUUUUAAGAAAAAACAUGCUAUUCUGCUCUGGGGAGUGCCAGCAUCUUCAAGGUCUGCCUCAGUUGCAAAAAACCACCUCUCGAGAGAUCACAUCCUCCCUGGGGCAGCUUGCAGCUGGUAAAUGAGGCUGGGAUGUAAAGACCAGGACAUUUUGGCCAGACAGAGGAAACUCUGAUGGCCAAUGUUUCCUCCAGAGAUCUCUGCCAGAUUGGUGUACGCGUUGUCAGGCCUGUAAUCUAGCUAACGUCUUUCUCUGUCCAAUCCUACUUCCUUCGCUUUUUUUCACAAGGUUGUUGAUCCCUAAUAAACAUAUAGUAUUCCAUACUCAUCUCAGAGUCUGCCUUUGAAAACCUAACCAAGACAGCAGGUGAGUAGCAUGGGAUCUGGAGGCUUCUGCAGCCAAGGUCUGAAUGAUCUAAGUCAGAAUUUUGAAAUGUUGCUUGUCUUGAAUCUAUCUAUCUAUCUUUUUUAAACAUUUUUUUCUUUUGUUUGGUUCCUGUUUUAAUUGUUGUGUUUGUGUGUGGUCUGUCUGUCUGUGUUUUUCUUGUUGUUUAUGUGUUUUUAUGGAGAAUUAUAGGAAGCUCUUUAUACAUUAGACACCUGAAGAGAGUAAAAUGUUGAUUUCCUCAUCAACUUCCGCUGUUGUUAAAAAGAUGUGUUCUGCAAAAGGUACUUGGUUCUAUCACGUGAAAUAAUUUACAGUUAAAGGACAUGUAUUGGCAAUAUAAGUAAGUGCAUUGUAAUAAAAGUAAAUGCUUUUUGCCUGUUAAAUCUAUGGGUGUUUCAUUAAUAUUAUCUUGCUAGAAGUUGGCCAAAUAGAUCAACUUUGCCCAGUCUUUUGAAAUGGGCGCACACUAGUCCCAGUUUUUUGAAAUCUUAAGAUUGCAUGCAAUCCUCUCCUCUCCGUUCCUUACUCUACCUAGCGUGGCUCAUACUUUUAUCAGUUCUCACUUGGAUCCUUGUGCUGUCCCCUCCACUAGCUUCCUCUCUCUCUCUAUCUCUCCACACAGCUUUCAGAGUGAGUUUUCUAAAUUGCAAAUCUGAUCAGGUCAUUUCUCUAUUUAAAGUCCUCCAGUAGCUCCCCAAGGCUAUUCAAGGAUUUAAAACCCAGUCUUUUUCAUGGUAGUCAUAGAAAGCUGUUCAAGAAUCAGUCUGCUUACUCUCCAGCUUUCUCUGCACAACUGCCUCGCAAUCACCCCACUCCAGGCAAAUUUCCUGUAGCUUCUGGAAUGUGCAUGGUCUCUCUUCCCCUUUUGCCUUUGUACAUGCUGUUCCCUUUGUUCAAAUG
rnacentral:lncRNA from 1 species